rnacentral:rRNA from 1 species
CCACAAGGGGUGAAGCCUGCGGUUCAAUUGGAGUCAACGCCAGGAAACUUACCAGGAGAGACAGCAGGUUGAGGGUCAGUCUGAAGAACUUACCUGACGAGCUGAGAGGAGGUGCAUGGCCGUCGCCAGCUCGUGCCGUGAGGCGUCCUGUUAAGUCAGGCAACGAGCGAGACCCCUAUCGGUAAUUGCUAACUGCUCAGAGAUGGGUAGAGGCUAGUUACAGAGACUGCCGCUGCUAAAGCGGAGGAAGGAAGGGGCCACGGCAGGUCAGUAUGCCCCGGAACUCCUGGGCCACACGCGGGCUGCAAUGGUAGGGACAAUAGGUUCCGACCUCGAAAGAGGAAGGCAAUCCCGAAACCCUACCCCAGUUGUGAUCGAGGAUUGAAACCCGUCCUCGUGAAUAUGGAAUCCCUAGUAACCGCGUGUCAUCACCGCGCGGUGAAUACGUCCCUGCUCCUUGU